AGCACCAAACUUAAAAAUUCAUUUGCUUUCUCUCUUAUUUAUUGCUAUAAUAUUUAUAUAAGUUAAUGAGAGGGA
rnacentral:tRNA from 1 species